UUGGUAGCGUAGCUAACGCGAGAAGUUGACCGCCUGGGGAGUACGGCCGCAAGGUUAAAACUCAAAGGAAUUGACGGGGACCCGCACAAGCGGUGGAUGAUGUGGAUUAAUUCGAUGCAACGCGAAAAACCUUACCUGGUCUUGACAUGUACAGAACUUUCCAGAGAUGGAUUGGUGCCCGAAAGGGAGCUGUAACACAGGUGCUGCAUGGCUGUCGUCAGCUCGUGUCGUGAGAUGUUGGGUUAAGUCCCGCAACGAGCGCAACCCUUGCCAUUAGUUGCUACCAUUUAGUUGAGCACUCUAAUGGGACUGCCGGUGACAAACCGGAGGAAGGUGGGGAUGACGUCAAGUCCUCAUGGCCCUUAUGACCAGGGCUUCACACGUCAUACAAUGGUCGGUACAGAGGGUCGCGAAGCCGCGAGGUGGAGCCAAUCUCAUAAAACCGAUCGUAGUCCGGAUCGCACUCUGCAACUCGAGUGCGUGAAGUCGGAAUCGCUAGU
rnacentral:rRNA from 1 species